AUGACCGCCAUACAUGCCCUUUCUACGUUGGGAUGCCCCAUUUCGGUGUCCUUCAAUGCUCUGUAUGCUUGGGAUCAAGAUCCCAGGUACAACAAUAGUGAUUUUGCCAUGGACUAGUACCCAUAAGGUAGGCAAAUGACUCAUGAUUUGUUGAAGUUUUAUGAAAGGCAUUUGGUUGCUCAACUCCCUAUAUGAAAACAUUCUCCUUUUUCAAUAGUUUGGAUAGUCCACUAGUCCAAGGCUGGUCUUGGUGUGAACUUCCUAAUGUAGGAAACUCUUUCUAAGAAGCUCUUGAAUUCCCUGACCAUGGUAUGCCUUUUCAUGAUUGAUAUUGUUGUUGUCUUAGUUGGAUCUAUGAGGAGAUUGAUGUUAGGCAAAGGAAAUUUAUCAUUUGGACAUGCCUUAUUUAAUUUGAAGGAGUUCAUGCCAAUAAAUCUUCAUAUUUUUUCAAUAGCUCCACCAGUUGCUCUUUUUUUUUUAAUAACUGAUUGCUGAUUAGGUUGGGCCCUAGGUUCCUUGGGUCAGCCCCCGAAGUUCACAUCUUCUAGUUUUUUCCUUUAGAGGAUUUAUGCCUUCCUUUCCAUAUCCAUAAGUUUCUCCGGGUUCUUCAAAAGCAGUGUAUUAGCCUUCCUCCCGUUGCCUUUUUCUCCGUUUAAAGUAUCCCUCAAACCAUGGGUAUUAUUUCCUUCGUCUGGGAUGGGAGCCCUUUAGGAUCUUGGAGAUGGGAUAUUUUAACUCAUCGUAUCCCCAAGUUCCUCCAGGAUCUCUUCUUGGGCUAUCAUGUAAGAUGGUGGUCCAAGAUCCUUUUGUAGGCUACAUUCAAGUCUCGCAUGCCUUCAUAAGUAAAUUCUGCCUUCCCUUAAAGUUUUUUCUUCUUCUAGGAUAGGAGCCCCUUGGGAUCCUUAAGAUGGGAACCCCCGGGAUCUUUGAGACGAGAGCCCCCUGAGAUCCUAACAAUAGGAUAUUCUUCAGCUGGAGCCAAUUUAUCAUAAUGUAUAUUUUCCACAAAGUUUACUUUAUGCUAGAUGAAAGGUCUAGGAUUGGCAGUAACUUUUGUGGACUUCCCAUUCAAUCCCUCUUUCAUGUACUAGUGGUACAUUGAGAGGAUUAGGCAAUACUUGUGAUGUCAUGGUUGGCCUUUAGAGCUAGUUGUAGGUGUCCUUCAAUGGUCUCUAUAUCUCCCCCAAAUCUUGUUAUUUCCAUGGGGGGGACCAAUUGUUGAGCUACAAGAAAUGAUAAAUGUACUGUAUAGUUGUUGAGCUUUCAAUAAUGUUGAUUUUGCUACUGACUUGCAAUGUAAUGUUUCUAUUGAUUUUCUUCAAAAUAUAUUCAAGGCUUAUUGCACAAUAGGCUUUAGCCCCCAGGACAUGAGGUAGUUGUUGAACCAUGCUUGAUCCACCUUCUCUUGAUGCUAUUGUGGAACUUCUAUCAAUUUUUUCGAUGCCUCCAUUAUUUUUUUUAUAUAACCAUUUUACUUCGCUGAAUCCAUGGAAGUACUUCAACUUUGUUGGAACCAAGGAACUGUUCCACUUUACUAGAAUCAGAAAACUAUUCCAUCAAGGAACAAUUCAAAUUUUUCAUGGAACCAAGGAACCAUUCCAUUUUGCUAGAACCAUGGCUGGAACCAAGGAACUACUCAGCUUCUUUGAAAUCAAAGAACUACUCUAUUUUUGUUGGAUUCAUGUCUAGACCCAGGGAACUACUCAGUUUUAUUUAUUUAUUUAUUUAUUUAUUAUUUAUUUUUAUUUACUGUUAAUCUAGGAUCUCGUUUGGAAUCAAGGAUCUCCUCAGCUUUGUUGGGAUCAAGGAUCUCUCAGGUUUUGCUUCCUGGAGUCAAGGAUCUCCUAAGCUUUGCUAGAAUCGAGGGUGUACUCAACCUUGCUGGAAUAAAGGAUCUCCUCAACGUUGUUGGGAUCAAAGAUCUCCCAGGCUUUGUUUCUUGGAGUCAAUGA
rnacentral:sRNA from 1 species